rnacentral:rRNA from 1 species
UACGUAGGGUGCAAGCGUUAAUCGGAAUUACUGGGCGUAAAGCGUGCGCAGGCGGUUCGCUAAGACAGAUGUGAAAUCCCCGGGCUUAACCUGGGAACUGCAUUUGUGACUGGCGGGCUAGAGUAUGGCAGAGGGGGGUAGAAUUCCACGUGUAGCAGUGAAAUGCGUAGAGAUGUGGAGGAAUACCGAUGGCGAAGGCAGCCCCCUGGGCCAAUACUGACGCUCAUGCACGAAAGCGUGGGGAGCAAACAGGAUUAGAUACCCUGGUAGUCCACGCCCUAAACGAUGUCAACUAGUUGUCGGGUCUUCAUUGACUUGGUAACGUAGCUAACGCGUGAAGUUGACCGCCUGGGGAGUACGGUCGCAAGAUUAAA